UGCCAGCCGCCGCGGUAAUACGAAGGGGGCUAGCGUUGUUCGGAAUCACUGGGCGUAAAGCGCGCGUAGGCGGACUAUUAAGUCAGGGGUGAAAUCCCGAGGCUCAACCUCGGAACUGCCUUUGAUACUGAUGGUCUCGAGUCCGGGAGAGGUGAGUGGAACUCCUAGUGUAGAGGUGAAAUUCGUAGAUAUUGGGAAGAACACCAGUGGCGAAGGCGGCUAACUGGCUCGGUACUGACGCUGAGAUGCGAAAGCGUGGGGAGCAAACAGGAUUAGAUA
rnacentral:rRNA from 1 species